GGAAAAGGCUGAGACACAGUAUGAGGGAAUGAGCACAAGAGGACGGACUGCAAUCAGUAGAGACACCACCACCUGCCAUUCCUCAAUCCUGACCGUGGGGGCAGCUUUCGAGCAGCAGGGGAGCCCUGAAUUCCCUAAGCCUGAGGACAACAGCAGGUUCACCCGAGUCCAAAGGCCCAACGUAACGAGUUCAACGUAAGCAGCCCGGAAGCCUGGACCCAGUUUAACGCGCUACAUACACCGAGUCGGGGAAGAAGCGCGGCGUAGCGCUGAGCCCUCCGACGCCUGCGAGCUGGAGCGUGGCUUCCGCGGCCCUAGGACACUGCAAGGCCUUCUGGGAAUUUCAGCCACCGGAAGGGGAGGUCGGCGCCUGCGCGGCACUGUGGCCUCGCCAGCAGCCUUGCCGAAAAGCUUUGAAGAGCAAAGUGUCGCGCUUCUGCUGUCGCCGAGCGUUCCGACCUGCCCUUCCACCCAGGUUGCUGGCUUUGUGGCGGAAAGAGCCAGACCACACCGAUUCUUAACUGCAGUCCCGAGCUUCGACGGACUAGGAGACAGUCCCUCGCCGCCAGAGAUCUACUGAUUUUCUGCUGCCAGUGAAUGAGCCAAGACAGGAAGAAAAUAAAGACGGGGGGGAGGGUUGGAAAGAGGCCAAGGGAAGAAAAAAGCGGGGACGAGCCUGUGUGGGUAGGCUGCGCUUUUAAAAGAGAGCGUCAGCCCAGGCCUCUCGCCACUCCCUCACUGGGAGGUGGCCUCCAAUGACAGAAACAAGAGCAACAGGUUUUCCAGAGCCUUUUAAUAGGUCUGCCCUUACACAGGAGGAGAGUGAAUAAAAUGAACAGGAAGAGCUGAAAUAAGCUAGCUUUUCCCUUUCUAAAUAGUCUUGUCCGUUAAUUCCCUUGGUGAAAUAUUUACGAAAAAUCCCAGUACUCUGGAGAUGGAGUCAGGAGGAUCAGUAGUUCAAAGGCAUCCUUGACUACUUGGAAGUUGGAAACCAGCCUGUACUAUAUAGGACCCUGUCUCAAAAAGAUGAAAAACGGGGCACGACGGCUCCCACCACUAGUCUUUAGGUACUCAAGGCUGAAGCAGAAAGAUCUUUUGAGUUUAGGACUUAAGGUCCUGCCUGGGUAAUCCUAUAUCCUACAGAAAAAGAAAAAGAGGGAUAUAGCCAAAAUCUGAAAGGAGAGAAAGAGAACACCCAGUUCUCCGACAUCCCCUUAUGCUCAAAAAAACAGCAUUUUGAAUGGCUGUCUUCCUUUUUUAGAUAAGGGCUGCUAAACAUUUUGUAGGGAGUAACAUUUAGUGCUGUGAUGAACAAAAUCACUUAACAUCCUGCUGCCUCUGGUUAAGCUCUCUUUGGUUUUAUCACAAAAAAUUUUAAAUAACUUUAAUAACUCCUGCCUGGCUAUUUUUAACCGAACAUACUCCUAAACACUGUUUUAUUUUUGUAUAUGAAAGUCUUCUUGACUACUUAAUUUAGUAUGUAACUAUGUGGCUAAUUACUUAGUUUGUAACUGUAUGCAGUUAAUUAUUUAGUCCUUUACUGAUACUACUGCGUAUAUAUGUGGUUUCUGGGCUUCUGUUACUGCAUUGCUGUUGCAGGAUAUUUGAUCAUACUGUAACCUUUGAGGUUUUUUUUUGGUUUUUCGAGACAAGGUUUCUCUGUGUAGCCCUGGCUGGCCUCGAACUCAGAAAUCCACCUGCCUCUGCCUCCCAAGUGCUGGGAUUAAAGGCGUGCGCCACCACUGCCCGGCUUGACCUCUGAGAUUGUUAUUAACUGGAAUAACCUGUUUUGAGUUGUGGUGUGGCUCAGCCUUAGCACACACCUUUAAUCCAAUAUUAUACUAUUGAAUAUUGUAAACAGGAUUAAAUAAAGUCAACUAUGGGUCAAGGGGUAGAACAAGCAACCAGUUGACAGAAGUGAAUGUAGCAUUAUAAAGAAAAAAAACAUAGAUUAAGAAGGAAUCAGGGAGACAUGAACAGGAAAUAGAGGGAGGGACAUUCUGUUUGAGGAGGGGCAUAAGAGAUGUCAACUGAGGUGGAAGACCAGCUGCGUGUUUUCUCUGCCUCUCUGAGAUAGCAGGCUUUCGCCCCAGCAUCUGAUUCCCAACAAGUCUUCAUUGGUAAAAUUGAACAAUUGAGAUUUUGUUAAAAAACAAAGAAACAUUGCUGCUAUAAUUAAUGUCUAAGUUCCUUCAGACAUGCUACCGUAUGGCUAGGAUGAAUGCCUUGAAGUUGAAUUACUGGGCCAAUGUUUAGAUUUUAGUUUUAGUCAAUAAACAUUCUUUUAGAUGUUC